CCCCCCCCAAUAACAGUGCUCUCCGGAAAAUAAUUCUUGGGCAUAUUUGGGCAUAUCCAGAAACUAAAUUGAUCCAUAUAAAUGGCACUGCAGGUGAUGCUGGCCAAAUCCAGAAGGAUUUAUCGUUCUCCUCUUCAUUUAUGUCAGACUUUGGCAGAGUUACAACUGAAUUUUCACAAAAUAAGCUUGAUGAGCUCAGAGACUUGUGGAUCAAAUAUGUGGAUGAAUAUAAACAAGUGGAUGAAGAAGAAUCGAAAGAUAAUGACUAUUUUAAUUAGGAUAUGUGUAUUUAUUUUUGAGCGGGAUUAGGGAGAUGUUUCUAUUUUUGUGCACAUGAAUGGAAGAAACAGACCUAGGUGCUCUAUUAUUUUUUUAUAACUUAGUUGAAUUUUUGGGAUCUUCUAACAUUAUAUUGAUAUGCAUUUGAUUUUGGAGUGAAUGAUAUUGAAUGAAUGAAAAAGUAUUCCAAAUUUAAAGUCA